AGUGAAGAGUUCCCCACACAAGCUCUGAUACUGAGGGAGCUCAACGCAUUCUACUUGACCUAACCGGCUGGGAUAUAAGGGCUAGGCAGGUCUGCUUUUCGUUAGGUCAAAAGUGAAGAGUUCCCCACACAAGCUCUGAUACUGAGGGAGCUCAACGCAUUCUACUUGACCUAACUGGCUGGGCUAGAUGGGCUAGGCAGGUCUGGUUUUGGUUAGGCCAAAAGUGAAGAGUUCCCCACACAAGCUCUGAUACUGAGGGAGCUCAACGCAUUCUACUUGACCUAACCGGCUGGGAUAUAAGGGCUAGGCAGGUCUGGUCUUAGUUAGGCCAAAAGUGAAGAGUUCCCCACACAAGCUCUGAUACUGAGGGAGCUCAACGCAUUCUACUUGACCUAACCGGCUGGGAUAUAAGGGCUAGGCAGGUCUGGUCUUAGUUAGGCCAAAAGUGAAGAGUUCCCCACACAAGCUCUGAUACUGAGGGAGCUCAACGCAUUCUACUUGACCUAACCGGCUGGGAUAUAAGGGCUAGGCAGGUCUGGUUUUGGUUAGGCCAAAAGUGAAGAGUUCCCCACACAAGCUCUGAUACUGAGGGAGCUCAACGCAUUCUACUUGACCUAACCGGCUGGGCUAUAAGGGCUUGGCAGGUCUGGUUUUGGUUAGGCCAAAAGUGAAGAGUUCCCCACACAAGCUCUGAUACUGAGGGAGCUCAACGCAUUCUACUUGACCUAACCGGCUGGGAUAUAAGGGCUAGGCAGGUCUGGUCUUAGUUAGGCCAAAAGUGAAGAGUUCCCCACACAAGCUCUGAUACUGAGGGAGCUCAACGCAUUCUACUUGACCUAACCGGCUGGGAUAUAAGGGCUAGG